rnacentral:lncRNA from 1 species
AACGGGUUAUCCCCAUAUCUCGUCCGGUAUGAGCGUUAAAGUACCAAUCCUCCAUACCUCGUCCGAUAUGAAGUAACGUUUACGGUAGGAUUCCCUAUGUACCCGAUCUGUCCACCAUCUCCCAAGAUAUCCAGUAAGAUUACCAUUCAUUCAAUCACUUAAUCAAACAAUUUCUCGUUUACAUUUAAUUUUUAAUUUCACAAUUUAACUAUAAAUCACGCAGAACAAGCAAUACAUGCAUCAAGGAAAUACAACAAAUCAUCAUGCCAACUUCAGUGUAUUAUUAUGCAUUUGACACUGUAAAAUCAAUCAAACAGGAU